CCCGAAAUUCGAAAAAAGAUUUUUCCGAUUCCGAAAGGGUCAAUCUUGAAAUCCCGAGCUUAAAAACACCCGAUCCCGUUGUCCCGAUAAAGAUCCACCCCCUCUUUUAUUGUUACCGUAGAGAAAAAAAUCGUAAUUUUUAAAAUGUGAUAUUCAUUUUAUCAUUAAAAUGAUACUUGUCUUACAAAUUGGGCUUAUUGAAAUGUUGAAUGGUUUUUGUUUAGGUUUUUACUGGGAACAGUACAUUUAUAUCAUAAUAUUUAGUCUUUAUGUCAAUUGACAAAUGAUUCAGUUCAUAUUUUUGAAAAACACUACUACGUAAUAGUACGGAAGAGGCUGACAUCUGGUGAUUUUUAAGUGAAUUGUUUUAUCGUGGAGAAACAUCUUUUUGUUUUGUUGUAACUGAUUAUUGUAUGGUGCAUGUAUGUUUAAAAAAUCGAAAAGGACAUCAGUAAACUUGAAAAAUAUCAAGCCAUAAAACCCUGUUGCACAAUAUACCAGCAAAUGACAUUAUACUGCCCCCGGGAAUAAACGAACUGGUCAACGGAUUUCAACCAGGUAAAUGUACAUGUACAGGUAUUCAGCUGAUCAAUACCCGAAUAUGUCAUCGUAAACAAUUUCCAAAAUAAAUUCUCACGGUUGUAAGAAUAUUAUAAAUACCCGUAAAUGUAACAAUUGGCAACACAUAUAAAAUACAGAUUUAUUUUUGGCAGAAUUUACUUACCAUUUUUUUU
rnacentral:lncRNA from 1 species